GUGGGGAAUAUUGGACAAUGGGCGAAAGCCUGAUCCAGCCAUGCCGCGUGUGAAGAAGGUCUUCGGAUUGUAAAGCACUUUAAGUUGGGAGGAAGGGCAGUAAGUUAAUACCUUGCUGUUUUGACGUUACCGACAGAAUAAGCACCGGCUAACUUCGUGCCAGCAGCCGCGGUAAUACGAAGGGUGCAAGCGUUAAUCGGAAUUACUGGGCGUAAAGCGCGCGUAGGUGGUUUUGUAAGUUGGAGGUGAAAUCCCCGGGCUCAACCUGGGAACUGCCUCCAAAACUGCAUGACUAGAGUACGGUAGAGGGUAGUGGAAUUUCCUGUGUAGCGGUGAAAUGCGUAGAUAUAGGAAGGAACACCAGUGGCGAAGGCGACUACCUGGACUGAUACUGACACUGAGGUGCGAAAGCGUGGGGAGCAAACAGGAUUAGAAACCCUGGUAGUCC
rnacentral:rRNA from 1 species